AGGAUUCAAAACUCUAAAUGAAUAUUGGUCACAUGUAAUUAAAGCCAAAUGACUAAUAUGGGUCAACUUCUUGAAAAUGCCCAAAGGAAACCAAAUAGUAAAGAAACACACGAGCAGUAAUCAGCAUAACAAAAACGCGCAAAUAAAUUCUACUAAGGCAUCGCAAACAAAACGAAACACUAAUUCAAAAGAUCGAUGCAAUGGAUCAAAAUAAGACUAACGAGACUAACGGGAGCAUUGGAUUAAGCUAAAAUAGUAAAAUAAAGGGAUAAAUAAACCCCGGAUAGAUAUGAAAUCCGAUUUUUGGACAGUUAAACGAUGCUAGGCAACUGAAACGUGCACAAGAUCCAAACUGAACCUCGCCGGAAAACCUCAUCGAGCUCUGGACGGGCUGCCUCGCUAUCUCCUUGUUCUGCUACGUCUAUGCAUGGGUGAAGGAGUUCUGUUUGGAGCCUUUUUUGUGGUGAUGGACGACUGAUCUCGUUGGAGAAUAGCAGGGGUCACUGGUUCGUGGUCGUUGGCCAUUUUCUGGCGAGUUUUCGUGGCUGAGGGCCCGCGGCUGUGCUUCUCUUCUAGGGUUUUAAAGGGUUGACAGCGGUUCUAGGGUGUUAUGGACGAAGAAGAAGGAAAUGGAUGGGGCUGGUGGUGGUUGUGCGAUGUGGCGGCGGGCUGUUGGUGGUUGACAUGGAGCUGGACGCUGGUGGUUGUAGUGCUGGUCGGCAGCAAUCGCUUAGGCUUAAUGGAGACUAAGGUUUUUUGUUGUAUUUAUCUCCAUUGUUGUCUUUUUGUUAUGGUGUUCAAGUCUUGGUGAGGAAGAUGAAGAUGGCUAGGGUUGGUCUUGAAGAUGGAGAGGAAGAAUUGAGUUUGGUCCUAUGUCUUGCCGGAUUUAUAUUUGGGAUUCAAAAUAUACAAAAUUGGGCCAAAAGAACUAAAAAUUCAAAUUAAAUACCUAUAAAACUCUACAUUAAUUAAUGAUAAACUAUUAGUGUUAAAAAUAAAACUAAAAAUUAAAGUUGGAA
rnacentral:lncRNA from 1 species